CCUACGGGUGGCAGCAGUGAGGAAUAUUGGUCAAUGGGCGCGAGCCUGAACCAGCCAAGUAGCGUGAAGGAUGACUGCCCUACGGGUUGUAAACUUCUUUUAUAAAGGAAUAAAGUGAGGCUCGUGUGCUUUUUUGUAUGUACUUUAUGAAUAAGGAUCGGCUAACUCCGUGCCAGCAGCCGCGGUAAUACGGAGGAUCCGAGCGUUAUACGGAUUUAUUGGGUGUAAGGGGAGCGUAGAUGGGUUGUUAAGUCAGUUGUGAAAGGUUGCGGCUCAACCAUGAAAUUGCAAUUGGUACUGGCUGUCUGGAGUGCAGGUGAGGUAGGCGGAAUUCGUGGUGUAGCGGUGAAAUGCGUAGAUAUCACGAAGAACACCGAUUGCGAAGGCAGCUUACUAAACUGCCACUGACAUUGAUGCUCGAAAGUGUGGGUAUCGAACAGGAUUAGAUACCCCUGUAGUC
rnacentral:rRNA from 1 species